AGAGUUUGAUCCUGGCUCAGGAUGAACGCUAGCUACAGGCUUAACACAUGCAAGUCGAGGGGAAACGACAUUGGAAGCUUGCUUCCGAUGGGCGUCGACCGGCGCACGGGUGAGUAACGCGUAUCCAACCUGCCCACCACUUGGGAAUAACCUUGCGAAAGUAAGACUAAUGCCCAAUGACGUUGAAAGAAGACAUCUGAUUUCAACUAAAGAUUCAUCGGUGAUGGAUGGGGAUGCGUCCGAUUAGCUUGUUGGCGGGGUAACGGCCCACCAAGGCAACGAUCGGUAGGGGUUCUGAGAGGAAGGUCCCCCACAUUGGAACUGAGACACGGUCCAAACUCCUACGGGAGGCAGCAGUGAGGAAUAUUGGUCAAUGGGCGAGAGCCUGAACCAGCCAAGUAGCGUGCAGGAUGACGGCCCUAUGGGUUGUAAACUGCUUUUAUAAGGGAAUAAAGUGGGGCUCGUGAGCUCCUUUGCAUGUACCUUAUGAAUAAGGACCGGCUAAUUCCGUGCCAGCAGCCGCGGUAAUACGGAAGGUCCGGGCGUUAUCCGGAUUUAUUGGGUUUAAAGGGAGCGUAGGCCGCAGGUUAAGCGUGUUGUGAAAUGUAGGGGCUCAACCUCUGCACUGCAGCGCGAACUGGCUUGCUUGAGUACGCACAACGUGGGCGGAAUUCGUGGUGUAGCGGUGAAAUGCUUAGAUAUCACGAAGAACUCCGAUUGCGAAGGCAGCUCACGGGAGCGCAACUGACGCUGAAGCUCGAAAGUGCGGGUAUCGAACAGGAUUAGAUACCCUGGUAGUCCGCACGGUAAACGAUGGAUGCCCGCUGUUGGUCUGAAUAGGUCAGCGGCCAAGCGAAAGCAUUAAGCAUCCCACCUGGGGAGUACGCCGGCAACGGUGA
rnacentral:rRNA from 1 species